rfam:Myotis brandtii contig183464, whole genome shotgun sequence.
GCCAGUGUUGCUCAAUGGUCAGAGCUUUAGCCCUCACACCGAAGGGUCAUGGGUUCAAUUCCCGGUCAAGGGCA